AAGAAACAGGUACAGAAGAUUCUAGUAAUGAGUUAGAAGUUUAUUUGAGAGAGAAAGUAGAGGUUUCAAAGGGCGGUACUGGACUUGGGACCGAGUUUGAUGUUUUAUCGUGGUGGAGAAGAAACAGUGUGAAGUUCCCGAUCUUGUCUCAGAUAGCUGCUGAUAUUCUUGCGGUUCAAGCAUCAUCUGUAGCAUCAGAGAGUGCAUUUAGCACUAGUGGGAGAGUCUUAGACCCAUACAGGAGCUGCUUAACACACUUCAUGGUCGAGGUGUUAGUGUGCACAGAACAAUGGUUGAAAUCCGAGAUUCACAUCAAUGAGAAAGGCAUUCUUACAAUAGAGCAGUUACUUUCAGAUGUGGAAACUCAAGAUGAUCUUAUGAGAGGUAUGAUUCACUUCUUCUAAACUCUUUACAUUUAUAGUAGAGCUUUGAAUCUUGAAGACUUGAAGUUUUGAACACUUAUACGUUUCUGUUUUUGUUUUCAUAGAGUUUGAAGCUGGAUGCAAUUUAGACUAAGGAGUGGCUAUGGAGUAUGGAGUGUGGACGACAAAGAGUGACUGUGUCAUUUGUGAUCAUUUGCUUCGUUUCGUUUUUUUUUCUUGUUUAAGACAUCAACUUCUUUAUGUUUCUGUUGUGAACUUGUGAUUUGCUUGAUUUGCUUUCAGUUUUUGUUCUUGUUUCAGACAUCAAGUAUGUUAUAUUCUUGUUCUUGUUUGGUUUCAAAAUUGGUUUUACAUGUUUCAGUCUUCAGACAUGAUGUACGCCAUGAGUUUGGUUUCAAAAUCGGUUUUAUUUCGGUUACUAAUUUGAUUUUGGUACGGUUUUAACCGAACCGUUUUGUAUCCAAUUGGUUUCGGGUAAAAGUUUGGAUAUUUUUAAACCGAAACAUUGGGUACCCAUUUUUUUGGAUUGAAUAUGGUUACUUUUAUCGAAAGACCGAACCGACCCGGAACCGCUCGUACCCGAUCCGAAACCGAACCGUAAGUGUUCCAAGUACUCAUUGGAUACAUUUAUUAAAUAACCGAAAACCCGGACCCGAACGGUUCUUAUCCGGAACCGACCCGAAUAUCCGAAAUCCCAGGCCUACUGAAGACUUCACAACAAAUCUACUAUUUUCCGCUCAAAUUUUAGUAGAAUUUAGGUUUUCUGCCUAAUCAUUAAUUUAGAAAUUUAGGUUUCUACCUAAUGUGAAAUCUUCCAAAACUCUUCCAUAAUAAAUCUUCUCAUGUAUUAGAUCUUUAAAAUAAUUUAUAAAUUUUAUUAAAUUAUUUCUAUAGGAAACAAAAAUCUAAAUCAUAUAACUAUAGAUAUUUUUAAACGAUGUAAUUUAAAUUUACUAAAAUAGAGUUGUUUUCAACAUAGGUGAGUCAAUGUAGAUUGAUCAUGAUAGUCUUCGGUCUAGGGAUUGGUAACAUAUGUUAUAGUAUUGUUUGUAUUCUUAGCUUUAGAUUUUGGAAUCUUAAAUAUUUUUUUAGAAAAAUUAAAAUUGACUCAUAUGUGUUUAGUUUUUAGUAUAUUAAACACUUUAUAAGUUGAUCAUAUGUUUAAUGAAGUGUUUGUUGAUAUUUAGUUAUUUAUUUGGUUUUAUGGUUUUGAAAACUUCUACGGAAAUCUUCUAACAUGUAAUGCAUUAGAAGACUUAUUGGAAAGUCUUUUACAUAAGUUUUCUCAUUAAUAUUAAUUCUUUUUACUAGUAAUUGUCAAUUGCAAAACUAACAUACGUAGACUUAUUGCGACAGUGAGAAAACUUCAUGUAACAAUACAAAGGCUUCUCGAGAAGUCUUCUCUCAGGAAGUCUUCUAUAAAAAUUCAAAUUUCUGACAAAAUUCAGUCAAUUGUAAAACUAACUUGUUUAUUCGAGAAGAGUUCUCGAGAAUUCUUCUUAUUGUUUUUUGUUAACAAAGAAAAAUUAGAAGACUUCUAGAAAUCUUCUAUAAAAAAACACACAAAAAGUCAAUUGCAAAACUAACCAAUGUAUUGACCAGAAGAUUCUGGAAGUUUUCUUGGCUAAACAGAUCUGAAAAAAAAAUCAAAUAUCAUUUUUACAUCCGGUGAGAUUCAUGUUUAGCUUUUAAAAGCACACAAAACUUCUUAAUGGAAGUUACUCACUCAUUCUUGACCAUGAAUUAUGAAUUUGAGUAACUCUAAUAAGCUUAUGGUUUUAAAAAAAAGGAUUUUGGGAUGAAAUAAGAGAUAAAGUGAAAGAGAAAUGGUUUAUGUGUGUAUGAGAUGAGGAUAUGAAGAUGUAUAUGUUGAUUUUAGAUGUAUUUAGAGCUUUAAAUUGGUUGUUCAUGGUGGUUAGUGUUUUGAUUACAAUGAAAAUAUUGUAAAUAAAUGAGAAAGAUGACGGAUGAAUGAGUAAAACACUAAUUUUUAAAGAAAAAGAAAUAAUAACAUUUUCGUGAAUAACUUGAACCUCUAAGAUAAAUAGGGCAAAUGAAAGUUUAAAAAAAAAAAUUAAGGGUUACUUUUUGGAUUGACUCCAAAUUUUGAGUCAUAUUUGAAAAUUCUCUAUGAUAAAUUUAUGUACAUUUUCUAAAACUAAAAUUAAUUGUUUUGGAAACUAUUGGGAGUUAUAUAAAACUACAACGACCUAAUAAAAAUCAACCGAGGUUACAUUAGUGAAACUUACAUUUACUUGUAAACAUAUUAUUUUCAUGUUGUGUAUAUGUUUGUUAAUGAAAUCUAUGUUACUAAGUCUAUUUAAAAUGUUCGUUAUGAUGCAGUUUUAUUUGUAUAAUCAUCAUUUCCAUGGUAAUUAGCUCUCAAUACAUAAUUGUUCAAUAACAUAUUUACCAGUAUUAUUGUCAUUAUUCUUGCUCCAAAACUAGAUAUGAUGUUAUUAUCUUUGAAAAUUUAACGUUUUUGGGUUGGAUUGUCCUUAUUAUAUACUCUCUCUAUUUUGUAAAGAUAGAUUUUUUUUAGUGUUUUCACAAAUAUUAAAAAAACGCAUUAAAUCACUAUAAUAAAUGUAUCAUUUUUUGUAAUUUUUAAUUUUCAAUAAUUUUUAACCAAUAAUAAUUCGAUAAAGUCAAUUAAUUUUCUUGAAGAUCACAAAUUUUCAUAGAAAAUACAAAAAAUAUAUCUUUGUGAAACAAUUUUUUUAAAUAUCUAACUUAAUAAAACAUAGAGAGUAUAUAAUUUUACUUAAUGUGCGAUUUAGGAAUCUGAUGAAUUUGUCCAUCUUUUUGUCAAGAAGAAUUUAUUCAUCUACAUUUUUCUUUACUGCUAUAUCGGCAGAACCUUAUUUUAUUUUGUUUUUAACGGGUUAUGAGUGAUCAAGUGAGAAAAUGAUAAAAUGAAACAUCAGACAUUUUGUAUAAAAAUAAUACAUUAAUCUUCAUGAGACAGUUUUUAUUUUUAAAGACAUAUUUCUUCCGAUUUUUUUUGUAUGAUGUUUUAGAAUAUUUUUUUUGUUUCAGUUUAUAUGAUGGUUUGAAUAUUUUCUGUAAAAUUAUAAAAUUAACUGAUUAAAAAAGUUAAUGUGUAAUUUUUUUGUCUUAUUUGUUCUAAAUAACAAUGAUUAAAUGUUUUUCGGUUACUUUUUGUUGGUAUCGAGCGUUUUUGAUAAAAUAGUUUUUUUAAUAUGUGUAUUUAUGCUAAAGCAUCGUACAAAAAAUAGAGAUAGUAUUAUUAAAAAGAUUGCUAGUUACUUGAAGUACUGACAACCACAUGACUAACCAACAAGACUAAACUAAUGUAUAUGUUAAACAUGACAAUAUUCCUAAAACUUAAUAAUGUUAUGUAGUUAAUAUGAUGAGAUUAAUUUUAUUAAUCAAAAAGAACGUGAGAGAUAUUGACUUCAUUUAAUUUCCCAAUAGAGCAAAUAAAAUUCGACCCAUUGGACUGUAGUUUAACUAUUUUCUUUGUUUUUUCCCUUGUCGUAAUAGGUCAAACUUUAACUAAACUAUGGUCGAGGGAUAAGACUUUAAUUGAUCAGAGGGAGAAUUAAACAGAAUUAAUGUCUUUGAUAUCUAUGUCAUUUUUUGAAUUGAUCAAAUUAAAUUCAUGAUGUUAACUAUAUAAUAUUAUUAAAUUGAAUAAUAUUGUCAUGCAUAUCAUAUAUUUUAUGUAGUUAGGUAUACAUUAAUUUAGUCAGCUUAGUUAUGCGGUGGUCAAUAAUUAGCGGAGCGAUCAUCUUCAGUUUUUAUAAGAAAGCGUUACAAAUAAAAAUAUAUGUUGAAAGGUACAUGAGAUGCCACGUAGGAGGCAACUAGAGGAGAAACAAGUCUUGUGUUUAAGAAGAAAAGAUUCGAAACAACACCCAGCUUCGCAUUGGUAGCUGCAAUGGUAGGUUCCUCGCCUGUCCACCCUUUUUAAAGUUUGAUGUGAACUAAUAAUAAUGUUAGAUUCUUUACCAAAAAUAAUAGCAUUAGAUUUUCCAUUAUUUAAUAAUGACUAUAGUAUCAAUAAUAAUAAUGAUUCUAUUCCGAUUUAAAUAGUGACAUCUAUGAAUAGGUUAGCGAUUGGAUAGCCUUGCAAGGAUAGCCAGAAGCAAGAACCAACAUGUACGGAGCAUAACAAAUAACACUAUAUUCUAAAAUCAGUAUACAGCACAAAUAAACUGUUUUGUCGGUUCAUUUUUUUUCGAGAAAUAACAAACUUAAGACUAGACGAUUGAAGAACAAAUCAAAGUUUUAUACAUUGCUUGUCUUUAAAACGACUUAGGUGGUUAGAGUACAAAAAAGAAAUAUCACGGGCUUGCUAAUUAAAUGUAUAGAAAUACAAAGAGUUCCCAAAAUAACAUCAUUGCUUUAUAAUUUAUCAAGAUGGUCUUUUGUCUUGUUAUUCUCUAAGCAUCGUAAGAAAAUGGAUGUCAUCGAAUAUUGAUGAUAAGAACAUAUAUGAUUCUAUUCCAAUCUUUAUUCAUUUUGAUUUGUUAUUCCAUAAACUAAACGUACAGAAGAAGAAGUAUCUGGACAAUAUCUAGGGUGGCUUCAAGUUGUUUCGUCUUUUUUGGGUGUCUGGUUACUUCAAUUAUGUGAAUGAUGUCGGGCCAGGAAUGCACUCGAGAUCCCAACGAUUGUUAUUUUGAUAUUUUAUGCUUUUUACGCUCUUUACUUUCUGUGUAAAUAAGACACGACAACCAACGUUUGAGAAAUCACAUAGCAUAGAAGAGAGACGAUGGUCGAUUUUGGGCUUAAUUAGAUGCAAUUUUCGGGAUACUUCAUAUUUAUAUUGAUCUUUAAAUCUUUGUUUCUGACAAAAAAAAAUUUAAAUUCAAAGUCCAAAAGAAACCCUAUCAAUAUGCUACCAUAGGCAUAGAUAAUGUCUCUAUGCCACGUUCCUAGAUGACCUUUUACUCUUAUUUUUCUUUCUUCCAAACAAUUGAAUUUUUAAUCAGUUUUUUUAAUUUUAGGAAUACAACAUGUCCAUGGACAGAUCCAGACUAAUCACCAUGUACGGUUCACAUAUCAGAUGGACUCUCCUCUCUUAUUUUGAAUAUUUAAAUAAGAUCUAAAAUAUAACCUUAUGUCCGCGCGUAGCCACAGAUGUUUAGUGUCGUCGAGUUGCUUCGAAGUCGGAUCUUACCACUAGAUCAUCCCCAUAUGUUUUUUUAUCCGUUUACUCUCUGUGAUUUUGUCUCUUUACACAAACCAGUAAAAUGUCACUCAUUCUCAUGUUAACAUCAGUUCUAUUGGAUUUGAUUACUUAAGAAUUUUCCUAAUCAAAGUUUUUAAUAUCUUUGACUAGAUAUAUCUUUGUACAAGUUUGACCUAUAAUUGGAGUCAGAUGGCAAGAUAACUAUGAAUGUUUUUUUUCUGUUGAGACUUAUGAAACGCUUUUGAGGGAUCAGAUAUUUUAUUUGAUAAAUGUUUGCAAAUGUUUUCUAAGUUCAAGAGAUUUGCCUAAUUAUUAACUAUGGUUAAUACAUUUAUUAGUCAACAAUACUGCUAUGCAACAAAUUAUUGUGACUUGCACGUAUAAGGAAAAGCACAAUAUGAAUAAUUGAGUGCUGAGCAAAAUUAAACAACCUGAAAAAACAAUUGGUAAGUAAGAAGUAUCUUAGAGCAACCUGGUGCAAAUCUUCAUCACAAGCAGCUCCUUCGACACUCAGGAAGCUGCUCUGUCACGGGACCAUUUAUCACAUAUGGAGACAUCGUAACAACGUCCUUCAUAACAGUGUGCAUCUCUCCCCGCAGCAGGUGUUCAAGCUCAUAGACCGAGAUAUCAAGAAUGCCAUCACUGCGAGACAGCAAAAGAGGAACUUCUUAGGACUAAUGACCCUUUGGAUUAGAUGACCACCAUCUCUAGUCCAAAAUCUACUGACUUUCUUGUUUUUUAUCUAAUUUUUGCCAAGAAAUAAGUGUGUAAAAGUCUUAACUUGUUUAGGACAAACAUUUCAUUAAGAUUAAUGAUAUUUACAGUUUAGCAAAAAAAGUAUCUUAGAGCAACAUCAACACUAAAAAAAUCUGAAAGUGUUUCUAAAUAAUAAAAAAUAUUAAAAAUCUAAUUUUAUAGUUAUAUUUGUUUUUAACAUUUAUGUUACUAAAACUGACACAAAAGUUCUAGUAACUAUUUAAAACGUUUUCGUAUGAUAACUUUUUCAGUGCUCAAUCUAACCUAUACUAAAAGGGUUAUAUGAGCAUCAGAGAGUGUGUCCACGUAGGACAAUUAAAUCAUCCAAUAGGAGAUCAGAUUUUCACCACGUCAGAUACUCACCUACGAGAUGUUUUGAUUUUAGGGUUGAACCCGUCUUCCAUCUCUGUCAUUCGAUAGCGUUGUUUCAUCUCCUUCCCAACAAUCCCAAAAGCUCCCGUUACAUAUUCAUCGUUUUUUUGCAUCUGUAUUUGACGAUUCAAAAUCAGAAUCCUAUUUCAAUUCAUGCAUCUGAAAAUUAAUGAAGCGCUGGCGAUGAAAAUUUGUCUUGAUCAGAAGUCGAAGUCUUGGUGACAUUUACGGCUGCAGUUGUGGCUGAUGCUGAGAACCAGUAGAAGCGGAAAAAGUCUCCUUUCACUGGUCAACAUUUGAUUUCUUAAGAAAUUAUCAAAGAUUGGAUGAGAUCUGCGCUGGAGCAAUGUUCGUUAGAUGCAGGCCAGCGCCCCUGCUGAUGUUUCAGAAACAUAUCUUUCUUCCCUUCUUGACGACAAGUUUCUAAGAAGCUUAUCCGACGUUAGAGAUGUGGAUGAAGCUCUCAAGAUAGUUACUAUCGAUUUGGAUCCAACUGCUGCGGUUUAUCAAUUAUCAUGAAGAUCAACCAUUAUUGAUUCACUGGUGGUGGAUGCAUACCUUGAGAUUGAUUACGAUUAUGAUGAGAUUGAUGAAGAAGAUGAAGAAGGCGAGGGCUAAGGAAGAAGAUAAGGGAAGAGCAGAAAAGUCAUCAGCUGUGCACAAGGUUUAACAAACACUUAGUUGAGACUUGAAACCGUAGGAUCUCUUUCGUGUUGAUCAAAUGAUCAUGCAAGGUCUGUUGCUAACCUGAGCUUUUUGCGCAUAAAUGGCGUUGGAAAAGAAAUAACCAACCACUAACACAUAUAAUCGACUCCACUAUCGUUAUAAAACCCCUUACGUAUUAUACUAGAUAUUGUUUGAUCAACUCUUUCACUGAGUGUUAAGGAGUUAGAACUAACCCUCUUUAGUCUGGAAACAGAAUUAACCCUUUCGUCAUUUUUAACCUCUUUACAUAUUAUAUUCUAUUUCAAUAGCUGUGUUAAGAGAUAUUUUGUUUCCAUGUUUUCAUGUCCAUAUCCCUCUGAAAUUCAUCAUUAAAAACCUCUCAAUCUUUAGCUUUUAAGAGAAAUUUCAGAGGAGAAGAGACUGGAGAAGAGGCGAGAAUAAACAGAGGUGAAGAAAAAAUAUAGGUCACAAAGUUGUGGUUAGGAAGAGUUUUGGGAAUCGAUUUAUGAACAUAACAGAAGUAUUUAGAUCUCGGAUAAUAUGCCUAUGGAACAAUCAAGCUGCAAGGAAUCCAUAGAAACAAACCGUGUUCAAAUCAGAGGAGCACUUGAGUAUGAGAUGGGUGAUGCUCAUAUGGCUAUCCAAGCCAGAUUGAACCAAGCUUUGCAUAAACUGAGCCACUCUUUGUAUAACACUUAUCAUCUUUAUAAAUCAGACAAAGCUAUUCUCUGUUCUGCAGACGCUACAUGUUGUUGUCUUCGUUGCGGCCAGGUGUGAGGGACCAGUUUAUCGGAGGGUAAGCUUAAGACGCAAUGUGAGGUUGACUCAGUUAUGGCAAUCUAGGAGGCUGAGGUUUUGAUAUUAAGGCACAUGUUUUACGUUUCGUUACACCAAAGAUUUUGUUCAUGCUGAACCUAUGGAUUUGACGCUAUGUUGAAACAAUGACGCUAUGUUGUCCUCUAAAUUUGAAAUUAAGGUAUUACUUUAUUAUUAUAGAACUAUCUGGAUUUUGUUGUUUCAGUCUCUCAGAUUAGUCUCUUUUCAAGGUGGGUGUAAUCAAAUGGUCAGAGGAUCAACAAUACGAUUAAGACUUUUCUUACUCUGCUGAUCAAGUGCCUGAAGCAAUAUCUAAGAGAGUUUAUUCAUGUUUGAUUUUUAAUGUUGUUUUAAGGAGGGUGUGCUCCUUAUUGAUGUACGAAAUCCUACUACCUUUUUGUUUGUUUCUCAAUUAUAUUGGGUAGGUUAGUUAGUGUUAGUUUACUCUCCGGCAUUUGUUGCAGGGUGAUGCAUGGUAAUGCUUACCCUACCGAAGAUCCAGAAUGCUACAAGAUUUUUGAAAAGAAUGAGUCUGAGCAGCUUGCUUUUGGUGCCAGUACUAUUAUAUGUUUUUAUUCUUUCAUUUGCAAGGCUAUGUGUGUCGGAAAGGACUUACUUUAAGUGACUAUCAAUUACAUGAUAUUGGUUGCUUCCUUGACGAUUUUUGAGGGGGUUGGCGAUGCUUUUGUUUCAUAGUAUAUAUUCUAAAUCAGGGUAAGUAAACUUUCCAAGUCUGAGGGACUAUUGCUGUAGAAUUUAUUAAUAACAUUCAAGGUUAAUCUAAAGUUAUAGUAAAGAAUUAUUCUAACAUGAUAUAUAUGUAUAAGAUAAAUUAUAUUUUCAAAAAAUGAUAGUCUAAUAAAUCAGAAAAAAUAAUUAAUAAAAAUACAGUAACUUUAUCUAAACAUACAAUAAAUUAAUUAUAUAUAAAGAAGCCAUUAUUUAAAACUAUUCUAAAAUUUAAUGAGUGAAUUUUAUUUUAGAAAACCUAAUAAGUUAUUGGGAUAAUAUUGCUUAUUUAGUCUUCAAAUAUAAAAUAUUCAGUCAUAUAUUUAUUUAAAUAUUGAUAAUUAAUAUUAUGUUUUGAUUCUUUUUUUAACAAAUAAUUUCCUAUUAUAGUGAAUUAUAUAUUCAUGUUCAAUUAUUUAAUUAAUAAGUUUACAAUAUAAUAUGUAAAAGAAGUAAAAAAUACAAGUACAUUCAAUAUGUACAAAAUAAAAAAUAAAAAAUGUUUUGAGUAUUAAACAAACCACAACAAUAAGAACUCAAAUCUACUUACCAUAUAUAAAAAAGUUGAGCAAACAUUUAAGAAAAUGUAUACCAUUUCAAUCAUGAAAAUCAUGUCAUGAUAAUACAAACUUAUAAACUCUAACAAGACUAAUAAAAAAUAAAAAAUAAAAAAUCAAGAAUUUUAAUUAUGUGUAGAUGAUAUAAAAAAAUGUGUUCUCAUAUAGAAAACAUAACACAAAAAGAAAGAUAAUAACUAAAAUAGUAUAAUGUCAUAAAAUAUAUUUGAAAAAAAAAUUUAGAAAAAUAAACGAAUAU